rfam:Pseudomonas sp. 5 contig5, whole genome shotgun sequence.
CUGUCCGAGGGGCGCUGCAGCAGGUUCAACCUGUCAGGCUCGGAUGGGGCGUUGUCUGGCCAGGCUUGCCUGCCGACACUAAACGCACAACGGCGCCCAUUCGCA